GGCCGACUAGCUCAGCUGGUUAGAGCGUCGUGCUAAUAACGCGAACGUCUUGGGUUCGAUUCCCACGUUGGCCA